rnacentral:lncRNA from 13 species
UUUCAGAAAUAAUCUUCUACUGGCCACCUGGGCAUCCUGUAGCUCAGUCAACUUGACACAUGAAAUUUACUAUCACAGGUGCCCAACUUUAUGACCUCCCUAAAGGCCCUGUCUUGAAAUACAGUCAUAUUAGGAUUCUGGGCUUCAAUAUAUGAAUUUUGAGUGGACAUAUUUCAGCCUAUAAUGGAGGGAGAAAGGAGAAGAGGGUAGAAAGUUCAAGGAGAGAGGUGAAAGUUUGGAAGUGUCCCUGAAGAGAGUAAAAAAAGAUAAUUAAGGAAUAAAUCUCAUUGCCCACCCAGAAAUAAAAUGGAGAAUUUAGACUAGGUAUGUAACUGUGGUACAGAAUGAACUUAUGAAUUCAGAACCUGGACAUUAGGUCCAGGUGACAUGAGCUGAUAGGCUCUGGCCCCAAACCUAAAUUGGCAUUAAAGGCAGCAGGCUUUGGGCUUUGAACUCCUCUGGUUUGGAAAAUUUCUCCCUCUGUACAAACUGCUGAGACCACCCAGAUUUCAACACACCUUCUGAGAAAAGAAGGGAAUCACAGUGAAACAAUGUUCACUGGCUUAAACCAUCAUGUGUGUGUCCUUGAAUACUUGCAUAUAUUUUGCAUUGUUUACUAGGUGAAGGGAUGGUAAACACAGCGGAAGUUUCCUUAGUUGAAUUGAGUUCCUCUUCCUACCAGUCUUCAAACUCAUACCAGCCUGGUGUCCAGCACAGUCUGUGUGGAAUGGUCAGCAGGCUUGGGCAGAACAACCUCAUUUGUAAGAGCAGGGAAAGGCUGAGAUGGGAAAAAUACCUGGAGUUGCUUCCAGUCCUGAGGCACAGAGAGUUAAAUAAGUUCAUGAAGGUCAAAGAAGUAGAAAGUGGUGGAACUGGGAUUCGGACCCAGGCCGUCCGGCUGCAGAGCAUGCUUGAUCACGACUGCACAGUUCUCCUGAUUUUUCCUGAUUUUUAAUGAGACACUGAGAUUUUUUAAAAAAUUAAAAGCUUGUGAUUGAAAAAUGCAAAGUUAAAAAAAACAAAAAAAACUGAGUGAGCUUCAGAAGACCAAAGUAUGGGCCAGAUAUGGCCCGCGGGUU